GGGAUUCCAGCUGAAAAGCAAUACUAGAAAUGUAGCUGUGGUUUCCAGCUGGCCCAUGUUAGUACGUCUAGCUUUUCUUCCUCGCCACGGAAGCACCAUGGGAGAACGAAGCCCGAUGCUGAGCAUGCUUUGGCCAGAUUAAUUAGCUUCCAGGUCUACUGUGCCACAGUCGGUUCCUUCUAGUGGGUUCGUGGUCUCACUGACUUGAAGAAUGAAGCCGUGGACCUUCACUGUAUUACAGCUCUUGAAGAUGGCACGGAUCCAAAGAGUGAGCAGUAGCAAGCGGACCUUCACGGUUAAUUUUGAUCAUGGAAUCUCAAGUGAAUUGACAGCAUCAUUAUUAGGUUUUCUUUUUUUUUUUCAAACCACAGUCACAGGUGGCGUAAUUUGAUUUUGUGAAGGCAAUGAAAUGAUAACACAGAUACACCGAAGCCUCCCAAAAGAAUCCUGUUUCCAAGAUUCAAGAAGACGGAUUAAUGUUUUUCCAUUAAUUGUUUGAAAUUAUGCCAUUUUUUACUAUGUGCCAUCAAUUUUAAAGCACUUCUGAAAAGAGAUAACAAUCUACAAUAGCUGACAUUUUAAAUUCAUAAAAAUAUAGUAUUUUCUUCAAUUUGCAUACAUUUAUGAUGCAUUAUUUCUUAUUUCCCAGGAAUUUUACUUAUCUUUGUUUUGAAUGAUUAAAAAGGAAACAUAGCACCUUUUUCCAGCACAUCAUCAAGGUAGCCUAAUUAUUCUUCUUCUCUUUAUGAAGGAAUUGAAUUGGGAUGGACAGCUUGCCAGGCCUGCUGCCACUUGUCAGCAUUGCAUCCCUACAGUCAACCACACUUGCAUCUAAUGACCAUCUCUUUUAUUAAAUUUCUUUUGCACCUUUUCUUCCUGAAUGAAUGCAAGAUAGUUAAUUUUCCUGUUCACUUGCAUGUCUCAAGAAGGUUUUAAUUCUUUUUAUAUUGCAUUAAUAUUUAACUUAAGUUUAUAAUUGCAAAAUGAUUUAUACUCA